UACGGAGGGUGCGAACGUUAAUCGGAAUCACUGGGCGUAAAGCGCGCGUAGGCGGUCUGUUAAGUGGGAUGUGAAAUCCCCGGGCUUAACCUGGGAAUUGCAUUUCAAACUGGCCGACUAGAGUACGGUAGAGGGAGGUAGAAUUUCCUGUGUAGCGGUGAAAUGCGUAGAUAUCGGGAGGAACAUCAGUGGCGAAGGCGGCCUUCUGGUCCAGUACUGACACUCAAGUGCGAAAGCGUGGGGAGCAAACAGG
rnacentral:rRNA from 1 species